rnacentral:rRNA from 1 species
ACGGAAGGCAGCAGUGAGGAAUAUUGGUCAAUGGACGGAAGUCUGAACCAGCCAUGCCGCGUGAAGGAAUAAGGCCCUAUGGGUCGUAAACUUCUUUUGUGGUGGAGCAAUAAGGUGCACGUGUGCAUCGAUGAGAGUACAUCACGAAUAAGCAUCGGCUAACUCCGUGCCAGCAGCCGCGGUAAUACGGAGGAUGCAAGCGUUAUCCGGAUUUAUUGGGUUUAAAGGGUGCGUAGGCUGUUCUUCAAGUCAGAGGUGAAAUACCCGAGCCUAACUCGGGAACUGCCUUUGAUACUGGAGGGCUUGAAUACUGUUGCCGUGGGAGGAAUGAGUAGUGUAGCGGUGAAAUGCAUAGAUAUUACUCAGAACACCGAUUGCGAAGGCAGCUCACGAAGCAGCGAUUGACGCUGAGGCACGAAAGCGUGGGGAUCAAACAGGAUUAGAUACCCUGGUA